GACGAACGCUGGCGGCGUGCUUAACACAUGCAAGUCGAACGGAAAGGCCCCUUUGGGGGUACUCGAGUGGCGAACGGGUGAGUAACACGUGAGUAACCUGCCCUUGACUUCGGUAUAACUUCAGGAAACUGGGGCUAAUACCGGAUAGGAAUCCUUGCUGCAUGGUGGGGGUUGGAAAGCUUCGGCGGUUUUGGAUGGACUCGCGGCUUAUCAGCUUGUUGGUGGGGUAGUGGCUUACCAAGGCUUUGACGGGUAGCCGGCCUGAGAGGGCGACCGGCCACAUUGGGACUGAGAUACGGCCCAGACUCCGACGGGAGGCAGCAGUGGGGAAUAUUGCACAAUGGGCGGAAGCCUGAUGCAGCAACGCCGCGUGCGGGAUGACGGCCUUCGGGUUGUAAACCGCUUUCAGCAGGGGCGAAGCUUGUGGUGACGGUACCUGCAGAAGAAGCACCGGCUAACUACGUG
rnacentral:rRNA from 1 species